GUGCUGAUUGAGUGCUUGUACAUCGCCUCAGGGGUGGAGGCAGGGGCGCAGUCCAUUGCGGAUGGUUUCAAAGGCAGAAAACAAAGCGAACACAGCAAUUGCUCUAUGGAGUUAUUCUGGGAAGCAAGGUUUGUGGCUAUUGAGGAGACACUGAAAUUAAAGAGAAAAUUGUCCUAGUUUGAAUCAUUUCCUCUUGGUGCUUUCCUCUUAUCCACCUGUUGUUCUUUCAUUUUCCAAGUGCAGCUAUGUUGAUUUCAGUCUGACAAACAAACUAAUUUGGAGCUGGAGCUGGCACAUAGUUGUUAGGAAUACAAAAAGCAACCCUAACCCUUUUUUUUUUCUUCUGUUACUAGGAUAAAUUAUUAAUGUUUUUGUUUGUCUUGCAACCAAAGUGGUGCAGCUGGUGAAUCCAUCUCGAACCUUUGACCUUUUCUCUCUGCUUUGGUCUCUUGUUUCACAUCUAAACUGAGUUGGAGGUCACUGAAAUUCAUGGUUUUCAAAAUUCCAAGGUCUACUGCAAGCGGCUGCCUAUCCAGUGGCUCUGUCCUGAAAUUUCCCGCGGGAUCAAUAAGGUUUGUUUACAAGGGAAUCUUGCUGUCCUUUAUUGUACUCAUGUGCAGAGGUGUUAUGUUAUGUUAUUUUCAAUGAAUUUACAGUACGAAGAAAAAACAGUAAAUUACUGUAAUUUUAUCGUAAAUAAUUGUAAUGUAAAAAAAUGUAGUAUAUUGAUGCUUAAUAUACAUGGACAGUGUUCCUCUUCAGUGUUUUAUGUGACAGACUGAUUGCACAUUAUUGCACGUAUAUGUGAAUAUUUCUGCAUUGUCGUUUGGACAAAGAAACAUUCAGACACACUUGUUGUUGGUGUUGACGGGACCUUUUUUAGAAAAGGAGAUGAAGCUUUGUCUGUAAUCAAAAGUAUCCGUAGUCAAGGGUUGUAUACUUGUUUCUGUGCUCAUGGUACAAGCACAAGAGAUGGUGUGAAGAUUCAGGGAGGAUUCUGAACAUAUGCUGUGAAAAUCAACAACUUCUGGCUUUGAGAAAGAAAAAAUGUAAGCCCACUGAUGUGUGGUGACAUAAAUCCACCACAAAUACAGCUGCAUUGACAGGCUCAUGAGGCUUGUGUGGUUUUACUGUGGCUUAGCACUGACUGCAGGCUCUUUAAGUGGAUCUACUUUCAAUGGCGGUGCUGCCGCUGAGGGAGAGAGAGUAGGUGAAGCUUUGUAUUUGGAACAAUUAACACUUAAAACAAAAGGUUUAUUGCAUGCCCUUCAUUUGUCACCAUGUAUACCCACUUCUUUUUAACGUCUAUAAACAGGAUGACAACUUUUAUGUAGCUGUCUAAAAUUCCUUGAGUGUUGUUUCAAUUUAAAGCUAAAAGUGAUAUGCCAGGAAACAGCUGUUCACACGUGACUGAGUUUUCUCCUCUUCUCUGUUAUUGCUGGAAACGUUGCUUAGUAACGUUUGAAAAGCAGAGAGAAAGCUGCUGUUUAUCAUGAGUUUUACGGCUGGCUGUGGUUUCUUAAACAAACUGACAUUGUGCUGGUGUGCUUCAACAUGUGAGAGAAAUAUUAAUCAUUUUUUUGGAGAAGCUAAACAAAAUGUGAUGGAAACAGUUGGCGGUUUUGUUGUGGAGACCAGAAAGCACAUUGUAAUCAGACAGUGUGACUGUGCUACAGCAGGAACAAUAGGACCUCCCAUAUGCUGCUGGAGUAUGAGUACAAUAUGAGGAGGGAGGCUGGAUGUGAUAUCGCUGUACAAAUAUGGUAAGAACGUUUGUUCUUGGGCUUUCCUCUUGCUGCUCACUCACACAGGAAUUACACCAAGGUCAGCUGUCCUCUCGCUUCCACAUUUCAUCUCUUAAUCAGAGUAUCAACCAGGACAGAAACCAUCUCCCUGGCUCCUGAGGUAGAGGUGGGGUUAGUAGUGGUUGUUGGCAGAGGGAUGGAGUUUCAUGCUUUCAUGAACAGUGGAGUUGUGCAUGACCUGCAGUGCAGAACAGUGUACUAUCCUGUAGGAAGGGUAAACAAGGUUGCCUGAGGUUUAUGCAUGUGUGUUUCUUGGUCACUUGUAACUAUUACAAUUGCUUGUUAUUCCAAUUUGAGCCAAUAUGUGUGCUCUCUAUCACCUUGUCUGCAAUGUUCAACUCCGAUAUGGCAAAGUCAUCCUGCUUCUGAUCAAUUCCUCAGUAGUGACUAUAGACUACAUAAAAUAGAUGCUGUAAGUAUCUGUUUAGCUUGAGGAUAUGAUUUUUAGGACUCUCACUGCUGAUGUCUGCAGUAAAUCCAAUAUUGGAGCCUUUGCAGACUAUAAAAUGUAUUUACCAGAUCAAUUUUUCUCAACUGUGAUUUCUUUUGAUCUCAUUACAGAUAGCCAUUGCCAGGCUGAUAAAUGUCCAAGUAUACUUUUUUUUCUGACAGUCAAGUUUGAACCAGUUUAUCAACUUUGAAAAGAAUGGAUGUGGUAUCAUGAUUGACAGCCGGGCUGCAUCUCACACUUUCUGGGUUUGUCUAGCUGUUUUAUUCUGGGGAACAGCCUGAUAGUGUGAAAUCCUGUGCCUAAUAGUCCUUUUUCAACAAGGCCACACUUGCACUGCAGAUGGACCAGCCAAAAAUACUUAAUAUGUGACAAUUGUUAUGUUGAUCAAUUAACGAAAAUUUGAUUGAGUUUGGACCUGUUAAUUCUGAAUUUGGUUUUUAUAUGGAGGGCUUUCAUUCUGUUGGGGCUAAGAGCAUUAUAGUCCAUUUAUGUGCUGAUAUGUUAAUAAAAAAGCAUACAUAAACUGACUGGACUUCAUGAUGCUGACUGUCUUUAUUAGAGUUCAGCUUUAGGCUACUUGUAGUUCAUUAGUAUUGGAACAUACUGGUGACAGGAAUACAGAACAACAUGAAAGUGGGAACCACUCUAUGUUCAGUGUUCAGGAACAGUGACGCAGAGUUUCAUCGGCUCAACCUGCCAGAGACUCGUGCUGAAUAGAAAUCUCAGGGGAUGGGGGACACUCUUCAAAACAUUGUCUCCUUGGAAGGCUGUCAUACCUGUCCUGCACUCUGUCAGAGCCCAUCAGAUCAUCUCCUAUAAAGGAAUACUUCCAGUUCCCUAGAGGAUUGAUGGAGAUGGAAAUUGACUUAGCUUUUAAAGCCAGAGAACGCCCUUCACGAUGUACUAAUCGUAAUAUUUCUUGAUUCUGGAAGCCAUGUGAGAUGUUUAACCUUACUGGGGUGGUCACGAAAGCCAGGCUGAGUUUGUUUUGCAUUAAAUGCAGGAGGCAUAAUAUCAGGAAACCGCAUCAGGAAACAUCUCUGACCCUUGCUGUAUAAUAUAUGAUCCUGCAGAAGUGUUUGACCCAUUGACUCCCAAGAGAGUCGCCUGUACCACUAAAGAUACACCACAUUGAGAAACAUGGAGCAACAGUUCACUGUGGCCUGAAAGCACCAGAGCAUUUUCCAAAUGUAAACCUGUUGGAGAGGGGGAAAGGAUCAAAGAGCAUUUUAUAUUAUCUGUCUGUUGCUGACGGCUCUGGCUUUUGUACUCCUGAUAGCAGGUUAUGUGUCAUUUUGACUUAGCCUUGGAUUUUCUAAUGACAGCUCGACUACAAACAGCAGGUCUGGAAAUUUCUUGCGGUGGAGUUUGGGGUUGAGACAAUGUCACUGAGGUGUUGAUUUAGCUCUUCAAAUCCGAAACUGGAGCCUGUAAAUUUAUACUUUCAGCAACUUUCUUGUUAAGUUUGUCCCGUCAGCAAGCUUUAACCUACAAAUCCCAUUAUCUCCUUGACACAGACUUUUUACUUCUGAUAAAUAUUUGAACAGUUUUCAUGACAGAUUCACCUUCAAUUUGAGUACCGACCGUUUGGCUUUCAUUGACCUCUAUUGCCUCAAGAUGUUUUGAAAGCUCUUGGGGAAAGGUUGUCAGGCAAGGCUGACGCAUACUUCUUGUUGUAUGUCACUAAAUGGCUCACCUGUGCACUAGCAAUUGCACAAUUUAGUUACUAUAAAGGUUGACUUAUUUCUCCAGAAAACUCCAUAAAAACAUACACCAAGGACAUGUUUGCUGCAGGAUCAAAAUACAUUGAGAUUAUUGCACAUAAAUCUGAGAAAUGGCCCAGUGACUACAUUACAAUACAACAAUUUAAAGAUGUACAAUCAAAAACAAAAUGACUGCUGAGAAAUUCCCCUUAUUUGUAUUUGCUUCCAGCAAACUUAACUAGUAAUGCAUUUAGGCCCUGUGUCCACCAAUGGCAGGUUUUGUGUCAAUGUGCCCUAACUUAAAUUUCACUGUUGCUAAAAUGUUACCACACUUGUAUUUAAUCCCCAAAGUAGUUAGUGAACAUUCAUCUUUAGUCGUGCGAAUAUCAGGUGGUCUAGAAACCUGGGUAAUGCAUGUACAUGCCACAGUAUCCUCUUUUCUUUAAGUGUUCUCCAGGUAGUAAAAUUAGGUUUCUCAAAUCGUGGACAAGGGCUUAAUUCAGUUUUUAAAACUGGAACAUGAAAACCGGGAUACUAAAGUCAUUUUUAACACACUCACUCAGUAUGUUCAUAUGGUUACAGCUUGAUUAUCCAGUCCUAAAUGGACUACUGGUCUUUGUCCCAGUUUACAAGCAACUCUUUGGACAGUAUUACUGACUGUUGAGAUGGUAGUUUCACUUUACAAUGCCAUUUUUUAAGAAGUCGUAAUGAGGGUUCCUGUGCUCUAGCUAUUGUAUGUUUUUAUUUAGGUCAGUUCAGAUGGGAUUAUGCAAAUUCUCUCCCUCAGCUAGUUUGUGACUGUUACAGUAAGUCUGUUUUCACAGGAUUAUAUCCUUAUCAUGGAAGUACUUUGACUACAAGGUGAGACACAUUAGGGUCUGAGCAAAGCAGUAAUGGUAAAAAGAAUUACUCCUUUCGAAGCAGAGGGGGGGCCUCUGGGGGAACCUUAGCAACUCCAGGUUGUGCACAAAGACCACGUGUCUUGCCGUGGAUGCACUCAGGAAAGACACAGUGUUCCACAUGAGUUACUGAAGACUGAUUCCGAUUUUUUUUCCUCUUUCUUUUGUCUGUGCUGCAACAUUCAGUGAGGCGUGCUACCGUCCACAUAAACAACCCUCAAUCUCUGCAGGACCUGCUGGGAUCGAUACGUUCUCAUAAGUCAGGGUCCCUGUCCCUGUCUGCAAGUCAUUAUUGCCCUCUGGAGACGAGACUCACACCCACAUACCUACACACACACUCCCUCGCACACAUGCACAGAUGUUGCCUCUACUAUUUUGCUAACAUCCCAAAAGGCUUGUGAAUAG